GCCUCCGCCCCUGGGUUGGCGGACAGGAGAAGGAGCGAAGAUGGCGGAGUGAGGCGUGCCCCGGGCAGCUGGCCUGCGGGCCCGGGGCAGGCCUCCCGCGAGAAGCGGAGUACUUGUGCUGGGCCGUGUGAGGAACCGUAUCACACAAGAUGAAUAUUUUCCUGACCUUAGGUGCUUUUAUAUUCAGCUCAACAUUCUGAACUCAGGACUUGGCAAGAAUCCCUAUGUGGACUGCUCAGUGAGGUGGCCUGGUUCUUCCAUCCUGUACUUCCCCCAGUGAGAUACAGAUGUCUUUCCACAGAUUACCUCCAUGGUUUAGGAUGCGAAGACUGCCUUUCUUUUACUUCACGUCAGACUCAACACAGAAAAGCCGUGAGGAUGCAGCCAUCCUGUUGACUUCAGGAAGAAAACAAACAAUGGACUUAUGUCUUCUGCAGCUUUUUAAUUAGAAAGACAGUGUUUGCAAGUAGAAGGAAGAUGUUGAAUUUGAAACAAGUACUUAGGUUCUGUGGCGUGAAUUGUUUUCUUUUUAAAAGAUCCAAACAAGAAGACUGAACAAAUACCAAGUGUGAUUGACUUCAGUUUUUUUUUUUUAAAUGUCUUCCAUUUUUAACACUAUUAUAAGCACAGUUGACCGCAGUAAGUUCCAAAUAUUUAAUAUAAUUUGAAGUGAAAGAAAUGUUAUCUAAAUUCUGGCUCACUCUUUUGACAGAUUUCUUGGGCAAAAACAAGAUACGAUUAAAGCAGAAACCAGGUUUGGUUUUGUAUGGGAGUGAAACCAUUAGUUUUAUGUGUAUAAAUGUACAUUUUUAAACAAGAGUUUUCUCUUGGAGAAGAAACCUGUUUAUAAGAAGGCUUUGCACAGUUUAAUAAUCUUAAGUGUUUGGGUUUUGUCUGUUCUGCUUUGCUAUUUUAGUCCUUCUCAGGAAGGCCCAGCUGGGCCUGUGGCUAGUUCAGAAUGGGAGGAAACAUAGACUGGGACAAUGCUCACCCUGAACUGCCAGCAUGUGGGAGGUCAAGGCAGGAAGAGCAGAUGUUCAGAGCCAGCUUGGACAUCAUGAUGAGGCUCAAAACCAGCAGGAAAAAAACAGAACCCAGUAAACACCCUCUUUUAUAUUCCUUUUGUGGAAUCAUGUAGCAUGUGAGACUGGGUUGGAAGGGAACUGGCAUGUGUGGUUUUUCAGUUAAGGUGAUGUGGUGGGCCCUGGUGUGUAACUGGCCUUCACCUUUAGACAUACAGGAAUGAAGGAAAAACUAAGGCUUGGCAUAUAAAUCUUUUCUUCUAAAAAAAAGAAGCAAAGCUAUCUAAUGUAGCAUUGUCUGACUUUUCAACAUUUUUACAUUAUGUAGUUGCAUUUUUUAUAAAAGUAUAAAUAACUUCCUUCAACCCAAGA
ensembl:lincRNA uncharacterized LOC110318934